rnacentral:pre_miRNA from 1 species
GGUCGUGGUGAGUGCAAUGUUCUGUUGUCUCGAAUGAAAAUAUUGCACUUACCCCGGCUUA